AUAAUUUUUUCAAUAACUGCCAUCCACCUCUUUUUUUCGCGAACAUUUGGGCCAGAAAAACAAUGUAACUGAUUUGGGCCAGAAAAACAAUGUAACUGAUUUGGGCCAGAAAAACAAUGUAACAGAACAAAGGCUUAGCUGCAGCCCUUUAGAUUCUGCCCACAGAUGUCAUGCACCCCUUGCACCCCCGCUUAAGACGCCACUGGUCAUGGUGUCAAGUUUAUUGUUUAAUGAUAGCCUCCUCUCUCGUUGUUUUUGAUAAUGGGCUUUCCUAGUCAGGGUUCUACAUUUAUUCUUUGACCAACGUUCAUACGGUCCGUACAGUUUUCUAUCGCUGCUCGUUUUUUAUAUAUCUCAUUUUUCUACUACGAUUUCGUUUGAAAUACAAAUGGAUGAUGUGAGCGUGCAGACGACGAUAAGUUUUCCGUCAGAGUCGGAAACUCGAGUAUCGUCCUCGGACGUUCUCCUGUUUUUAUUUUCCUUUGCCGAGCAUGUGCCCCGACGGAGCCGCCGCUAUCGUGGCCUGUUUUCGAGCCGGAACUUGUACUCACCCCGACGACGCCCAAGCAGCUCCUCCCUGUCCAAAAUGUCCUAUGUUCGCCAGAGAACCCAGCGUUCUCGUGUCGGCUACGAGUACCGAUGUUUGCGGAGCAAGACACUUAUCCCUGCCAGGCGCACCUACAGUCAACGUGGCCCGAAACGAAAGACUGUUUGCACUGGGUCUUUGUCCUCAAUAGUGAACACUUUCUUCCAGCAUGUUUCAAUAUCUACGAAACAGGUCCUGUUUCUGGCUUUUGCGUGGGUGUGCGACUUGAAUGUCACGUUUUCAAGUCAGCACAUUGGCAUAAGAAGCCACACUGCUACUGAUUAUUAUCGUUCAUUCGGGGAAGUGGUGGAAAUAAUCGUAUCGC
rnacentral:lncRNA from 1 species